rnacentral:rRNA from 1 species
GAUGAACGCUAGCGGCAGGCUUAACACAUGCAAGUCGAGGGGCAGCGCGAUGUAGCAAUACAUUGGCGGCGACCGGCGCACGGGUGCGUAACACGUAUGGAACUUACCCUUUACUGGGAGAUAGCCCGGAGAAAUCCGGAUUAAUAUCCCAUAAUAAACGAAGUGGCAUCACUUUGUUUUGAAAGCUCCGGCGGUAAAGGAUGGCCAUGCGCACGAUUAGCUAGUAGGUGAGGUAACGGCUCACCUAGGCUACGAUCGUUAGGGGGCCUGAGAGGGUUAUCCCCCACACUGGUACUGAGACACGGACCAGACUCCUACGGGAGGCAGCAGUGAGGAAUAUUGCGCAAUGGAGGCAACUCUGACGCAGCCAUGCCGCGUGCAGGAAGAAGGCGCUACGCGUUGUAAACUGCUUUUAACCGGGAAGAAACCCUCCGACGUGUCGGAGGUUGACGGUACCGGAGGAAUAAGCACCGGCUAACUUCGUGCCAGCAGCCGCGGUAAAGUG